GUUAUAUGGUCAAGUGAAGAAGCGCAUACGGUGGAUGCCUUGGCAGUCAGAGGCGAUGAAAGACGUGGUAGCCUGCGAAAAGCUUCGGGGAGUCGGCAAACAGACUUUGAUCCGGAGAUGUCUGAAUGGGGGAACCCAGCCAUCAUAAGAUGGUUAUCUUGUACUGAAUACAUAGGUGCAAGAGGCGAACCAGGGGAACUGAAACAUCUAAGUACCCUGAGGAAAAGAAAUCAACCGAGAUUCCCUUAGUAGUGGCGAGCGAACGGGGACUAGCCCUUAAGUGGCUUUGAGAUUAGCGGAACGCUCUGGAAAGUGCGGCCAUAGUGGGUGAUAGCCCUGUACGCGAAAAUCUCUUAGUCAUGAAAUCGAGUAGGACGGGGCACGAGAAACCUUGUCUGAAUAUGGGGGGACCAUCCUCCAAGGCUAAAUACUACUGACUGACCGAUAGUGAACUAGUACCGUGAGGGAAAGGCGAAAAGAACCCCGGAGAGGGGAGUGAAAUAGAUCCUGAAACCGUAUGCGUACAAGCAGUGGGAGCCCACUUUGUUGGGUGACUGCGUACCUUUUGUAUAAUGGGUCAGCGACUUAUUUUCAGUGGCGAGCUUAACCGAAUAGGGGAGGCGUAGCGAAAGCGAGUCUUAAUAGGGCGUCUAGUCGCUGGGAAUAGACCCGAAACCGGGCGAUCUAUCCAUGGGCAGGUUGAAGGUUAGGUAACACUGACUGGAGGACCGAACCGACUACCGUUGAAAAGUUAGCGGAUGACCUGUGGAUCGGAGUGAAAGGCUAAUCAAGCUCGGAGAUAGCUGGUUCUCCUCGAAAGCUAUUUAGGUAGCGCCUCAUGUAUCACUGUAGGGGGUAGAGCACUGUUUCGGCUAGGGGGUCAUCCCGACUUACCAAACCGAUGCAAACUCCGAAUACCUACAAGUGCCGAGCAUGGGAGACACACGGCGGGUGCUAACGUCCGUCGUGAAAAGGGAAACAACCCAGACCGUCAGCUAAGGUCCCAAAGUCAUGGUUAAGUGGGAAACGAUGUGGGAAGGCUUAGACAGCUAGGAGGUUGGCUUAGAAGCAGCCACCCUUUAAAGAAAGCGUAAUAGCUCACUAGUCGAGUCGGCCUGCGCGGAAGAUGUAACGGGGCUCAAACCAUGCACCGAAGCUACGGGUAUCACUUAGGUGAUGCGGUAGAGGAGCGUUCUGUAAGCCUGUGAAGGUGAGUUGAGAAGCUUGCUGGAGGUAUCAGAAGUGCGAAUGCUGACAUGAGUAACGACAAUGGGUGUGAAAAACACCCACGCCGAAAGACCAAGGUUUCCUGCGCAACGUUAAUCGACGCAGGGUUAGUCGGUCCCUAAGGCGAGGCUGAAAAGCGUAGUCGAUGGAAAACAGGUUAAUAUUCCUGUACUUCUGGUUAUUGCGAUGGAGGGACGGAGAAGGCUAGGCCAGCUUGGCGUUGGUUGUCCAAGUUUAAGGUGGUAGGCUGGAAUCUUAGGUAAAUCCGGGAUUCUAAGGCCGAGAGCUGAUGACGAGUGUUCUUUUAGAACACGAAGUGGUUGAUGCCAUGCUUCCAAGAAAAGCUUCUAAGCUUCAGGUAACCAGGAACCGUACCCCAAACCGACACAGGUGGUUGGGUAGAGAAUACCAAGGCGCUUGAGAGAACUCGGGUGAAGGAACUAGGCAAAAUGGCACCGUAACUUCGGGAGAAGGUGCGCCGGUGAGGGUGAAGGACUUGCUCCGUAAGCUCAUGCCGGUCGAAGAUACCAGGCCGCUGCGACUGUUUAUUAAAAACACAGCACUCUGCAAACACGAAAGUGGACGUAUAGGGUGUGACGCCUGCCCGGUGCCGGAAGGUUAAUUGAUGGGGUUAGCUAACGCGAAGCUCUUGAUCGAAGCCCCGGUAAACGGCGGCCGUAACUAUAACGGUCCUAAGGUAGCGAAAUUCCUUGUCGGGUAAGUUCCGACCUGCACGAAUGGCGUAACGAUGGCGGCGCUGUCUCCACCCGAGACUCAGUGAAAUUGAAAUCGCUGUGAAGAUGCAGUGUAUCCGCGGCUAGACGGAAAGACCCCGUGAACCUUUACUAUAGCUUUGCACUGGACUUUGAAUUUGCUUGUGUAGGAUAGGUGGGAGGCUUUGAAGCGUGGACGCCAGUUCGCGUGGAGCCAUCCUUGAAAUACCACCCUGGCAACUUUGAGGUUCUAACUCAGGUCCGUUAUCCGGAUCGAGGACAGUGUAUGGUGGGUAGUUUGACUGGGGCGGUCUCCUCCUAAAGAGUAACGGAGGAGUACGAAGGUGCGCUCAGACCGGUCGGAAAUCGGUCGUAGAGUAUAAAGGCAAAAGCGCGCUUGACUGCGAGACAGACACGUCGAGCAGGUACGAAAGUAGGUCUUAGUGAUCCGGUGGUUCUGUAUGGAAGGGCCAUCGCUCAACGGAUAAAAGGUACUCCGGGGAUAACAGGCUGAUACCGCCCAAGAGUUCAUAUCGACGGCGGUGUUUGGCACCUCGAUGUCGGCUCAUCACAUCCUGGGGCUGAAGCCGGUCCCAAGGGUAUGGCUGUUCGCCAUUUAAAGUGGUACGCGAGCUGGGUUUAGAACGUCGUGAGACAGUUCGGUCCCUAUCUGCCGUGGACGUUUGAGAUUUGAGAGGGGCUGCUCCUAGUACGAGAGGACCGGAGUGGACGAACCUCUGGUGUUCCGGUUGUCACGCCAGUGGCAUUGCCGGGUAGCUAUGUUCGGAAAAGAUAACCGCUGAAAGCAUCUAAGCGGGAAACUUGCCUCAAGAUGAGAUCUCACUGGAACCUUGAGUUCCCUGAAGGGCCGUCGAAGACUACGACGUUGAUAGGCAGGGUGUGUAAGCGCUGUGAGGCGUUGAGCUAACCUGUACUAAUUGCCCGUGAGGCUUGACCAUAUAACACCCAAGCA
rnacentral:rRNA from 1 species